GCCUGAGUGAGGGUCACCGGCGGCUCAGGCUGUGGUUGAGGUGUCCAGUUCAGGAGGAUGUUCCCUGGACGCAGCGGUCGGCCGCGCAGACGUGGGGUCGCCCCGGUCCCGCGGUAGAGGCAGGAGGCGGAGGCGGCUUGGAAGGCGCGGCCCCACUGGGUCGCUAGAGGCUGAAGCGCAGGCCAAGCAGUGGAGCGAACGCGAGAUCCAACCCGAAACCUCCGCAGGCUGUGGGGACGGCCAGGUUCUGCCGCGAAGACCCUUGUGAAACGUGAAAAUCACAAGCUGAAAUAGAGGCACGACCAGAGAAAAGAGUGAUGCCCAUUUGUGUGUGUGUGUGUGUGUGUGUGUGUGUUUUACUAGGAGGAGGGAAGAUGAAGAAGGAAGACUGGCUAAAUUCUGGCCGCUUCUUCGUCCGCCUCUGAUAUGCGCGCCGUGUGUGUGCACCUGUGUGUAGGGUGGGGGCAGGCAGCAGGUGUGACAGGGAACCGGACAGGCGGAGUCCGCACCGCAGCAGGGUGGCCGCGGGGCUUCUCCUCUGCCUGGAGGGCGCUGCGCUGCCCCUUCCGGGCCUAAGUCCCUCCGUGAUUCACAAUUCAGUUUGUAGCCUGGGCUCUUCUCCGGAAACAACCCCACCUCCAGGUGACAACAUGCGCCCCUUUCUCUGUCCUCUGCGGCUGGGGCUUUCCUCAGCUGUCACACUUAAUAUAUUGCACUGUGACUCCCCCACAAGCCUUUUGAUGAAGCCAAAUUUGAAAUACACACGUGGAAGAAUCUGUCCAAUGCAAGCGUAUGUCUCAGCAGCAACAGUGUAGAGAGCAUCUCCACACUCACACCGUUUGAGAAUGGACUAUUUCCAGUCGCGUGGAAUAGCCCCUCUCCCUUCCUGUCCUAUGCUCAGAUCAUAACCCCCUUGCUCUCCUGCCUCCCUCUCCAACCACCAACCUGACUUUGCUGAUAAACACCCCUGUCUUUAUUAGCAUAGAUGAGGAACUUUAUAGUAUUGCAGUUAUGUUACGUGUAUUCUUUUGUGAUGCUCUCUCUCUC
rnacentral:lncRNA from 1 species